rnacentral:rRNA from 1 species
UACGGAGGAUGCGAGCGUUAUCCGGAUUUAUUGGGUUUAAAGGGUGCGUAGGCGGGAUGCCAAGUCAGCGGUAAAAAUGCGGUGCUCAACGCCGUCGAGCCGUUGAAACUGGCGUUCUUGAGUGGGCGAGAAGUAUGCGGAAUGCGUGGUGUAGCGGUGAAAUGCAUAGAUAUCACACAGAACUCCGAUUGCGAAGGCAGCAUACCGGCGCCCUACUGACGCUGAGGCACGAAAGCGUGGGUAUCGAACAGG